UUCAAGCUCGAUUCAAUCAGCUAUUUAAUCAGCCAUUUGUUGGAUGCUGCUUAUUAAAAUAUAUUAAACUUACCUCUCACUGAACCUGAGUUGAGUCACCUAGAGGUUCAAAGAUACAAUCGAGUGAUACCAAGUAGGUGUCAGACCACCAGGAAAAGAAGGAUUUUAGGGGGAGUUAUGGCAUACAAGCCCUAACAUGUACCUUUUUGGGGCUUAGGCAAUAUUCCUUCCUCUGUUACUGGGUUAAAACCUAUCCUAAUAAUUUAUAAUUUUUUGUGUAGAAUAAGUUUAAUUAGGUUAAAUACGAAUGUUACAUAUUAAGAAUUAGUUAGAAGUACUAUUGAAUUAAUGUAAUAUAUUUUGAAUUUAAAUAAAUUUGAAAUAAAAAAAAAUAAUA